rnacentral:rRNA from 1 species
AGGACGAACGCUGGCGGCGUGCUUAACACAUGCAAGUCGAGCGGUAAGGCCCUUUCGGGGGUACACGAGCGGCGAACGGGUGAGUAACACGUGAGUAAUCUGCCCUCCACUUGGGGAUAAGCUUCGGAAACGGGGUCUAAUACCUGAUACGACAACUACCUGCAUGGGUUGGUUGUGGUAAAGUUUUUUCGGUGGGGAUGUGCUCGCGGCCUAUCAGCUUGUUGGUGGGUAAUGGCCUACCGAAGGCUUCGACGGGUAGCCGGCCUGAGAGGGUGACCGGCCACGACGUGGGACUGAGACACGGCCCAGACUCCGUACGGGAGGCAGCGAGGUGGGAAUAGUUGGACAAGUGGGCGGAAGCCGUAGAUCCGAAGCCAACGCCGCGGUGGAGGGACUGGACCGGUCCGUUCGGGUUAGUAAACCUCUUUCACGUACCGAA